UACGGGGGGGGCAAGCGUUGUUCGGAAUUACUGGGCGUAAAGGGCGCGUAGGCGGCCUUCUAAGUCAAACGUGAAAUCCCUCGGCUCAACCGAGGAACUGCGUCUGAUACUGGAAGGCUUGAAUCCGGGAGAGGGAUGUGGAAUUCCAGGUGUAGCGGUGAAAUGCGUAGAUAUCGGAAGGAACACCAGUGGCGAAAGCGACUUCCUGGUCCAAUACUGACGUUCAUGUGCGAAAGCGUGGGGAGCAAACAGG
rnacentral:rRNA from 1 species